rnacentral:rRNA from 1 species
ACGUCACAGUAUGCAGUUAUUAACUACACACCUUUCCUCACGACUGAAAGUGCUUUACAACCCUAAGGCCUUCUUCACACACGCGGCAUGGCUGCAUCAGGCUUGCGCCCAUUGUGCAAUAUUCCCC